UACGAGGGGGGCUAGCGUUGCUCGGAAUCACUGGGCGUAAAGCGCACGUAGGCGGAUCUUUAAGUCAGGGGUGAAAUCCUGGAGCUCAACUCCAGAACUGCCUUUGAUACUGGGGAUCUCGAGUCCGGGAGAGGUGAGUGGAACUGCGAGUGUAGAGGUGAAAUUCGUAGAUAUUCGCAAGAACACCAGUGGCGAAGGCGGCUCACUGGCCCGGUACUGACGCUGAGGUGCGAAAGCGUGGGGAGCAAACAGG
rnacentral:rRNA from 1 species